rnacentral:rRNA from 1 species
GACGUAGGGAGCGAGCGUUGUCCGGAUUCAUUGGGCGUAAAGCGCGCGUAGGCGGUUUGGUAAGUCGGAUGUGAAAUCCCGAGGCUCAACCUCGGGACUGCAUCCGAUACUGCCCGACUAGAGGUAGGUAGGGGAGAUCGGAAUUCCUGGUGUAGCGGUGAAAUGCGCAGAUAUCAGGAGGAACAUCAGUGGCGAAGGCGGCCCUCUGGUCCAGUACUGACACUCAAGUGCGAAAGCGUGGGGAGCAAACAGG